rnacentral:rRNA from 1 species
CCUACGGGUGGCAGCAGUGGGGAAUAUUGGGCAAUGGACGCCAGUCUGACCCAGCAACGCCGCGUGAAGGAAGAAGGCUUUCGGGUUGUAAACUUCUUUUAAUGGGGAAGAGCAGCAUACGGUACCCCUUGCCUAAGCCACGGCUAACUACGUGCCAUCAGCCGCUGUAAUACGUAGGUGGCACGCGUUGUCCGGAUUUACUGGGUGUAAAGGGCGUGCAGCCGGAGAGACAAGUCAGAUGGUAAAUCCACGGGCUCAACCCGUGAACUGCAUUUGAAACUGUUUACCUUGAGUGUAGGAGAGGUAAGCGGAAUUCCUUGUGUAGCGGUGAAAUGCGUAGAUAUAAGGAAGAACACCAGUGGCGAAGGCGGAUUACUGGACGAUAACUGACGGUGAGGCGCGAAAGCGUGGGGAGCAAACAGGAUUAGAUACCCCUGUAGUC